GUUCAAACAAACAACUGCUUUCCUGUAGGGACAGUAUAGGGAAAGCGUCUGUCUUAACUGGCGAGUCUCACGUGUGGAGAUGUAGUGGACUAGCCACUGCGGGUUACCCGCGGAGUGAAGUGUUCGAUGCUAGUUAAGGCAGAUAGGUUGCAGGCAACUAGGGACAUAUUAGGGACAGUAGCAGUUGUUAUGGUAAAUAGCCAUUUUAGGGGGGACUGUUGUGGAAAUAAGGUCUGCACAUAUUUCCUAGUUAGUGAAAAAUGUCUAUUUACUCAUUUCACGAUAUAUAUAUAUAUAUAUAUAUAUAGCUAAGCACACACGUUAUAAUUAAGAUGGCUGCUGGAAGCUUCUAGCUCCUUCCCCCCCCCUCCCCUCCCUUUUUCCUUCCUAACAUCGACUAACU